CUUCAUGAAUGAACCGCAGGAGGAUGUGGUGACUUGAUAAAUGGGACAGCACUAAAGAGCAAAUAAACUUGGAACAACAGAAAAGGAUGGCUUGAAUUUUUAAAAUUAACUUAAUAUUAAUCAGGAAUCUGCCACAUGCAAAGCACCUGCAGAAGAAAUGCAAAAAGCCUGAAAUAUGACUGCUCCUACUCGAGUCGCCAAUAGUCUUAUGAAAGAGGUGAGUAUUAUUCAGAAAAUAAACCAAGCUGGGUGAUGGCAGUGCUGAAUGCAGCUAAAAUGAAAGCUUUCCAGACUCAAGGUCCAAAGAGGGAGGCCGGAGUUAUAGCCUAACAGCACUUUUAAGACCCAAGAAUAUGCCAGAAAUAGAGGAUCUUCUUGGGACCUGGGGCAGUAUGUUAAAGACUGGAGAGCAGGUUUUAACUGAAGCAGCUCCAAUGGUGAGACAGUGGUGGAGGGUCUAUCUGGCUGGUCUUGGAGAGAUGGACACAUAAUAGGAAUAUUUCUUUAGUACACGGUCUGAUUUUUAGGAACUUAACUGUUUCAAAAGAGAGAUAAGACAUGUGUCAAAAAUCUUAUCAUUUUGCUCCCUGCUUAAAACAAUUAAAUGUCCUUCGGAACAAAACCAAAGUCCUUAGAAAGCAUAUAGGAUUUUUCAUGACUGAUUUUUCAUGUCAGUAUAAGUUAGGGAUGCUUUCAGUUGCAAGUAAUAGAAACUUCAAUCAACCGUGGUUUCAACCAGUGCUUCUCAAUUUCCAAUGCAUCUUCUAAUCCCCAGGGUUCUUAUCAAAAUGCACAUUCUGAUUUAGGAAGUCUGGGGUGGGACCUGAGAUUCUGCAUUUUUAACAAGAUCCUAGUUGAUACUGAUUCUGUUGGUCUACGGCCUACAAUUUGUAUGGCAAGACCUUCAAAAAGUGGAAUUUUUCCUCCUUCAUACAAAAAGAGUCUGAAAGUAGAUUUAGUUCAGAUCCACAAAGUCAGUGCUCUGGAUUGUCACAGGUCAAAUCUAGCCCACUGACCGUGAGUUUUGUAAAUAAAGUUCUUUCUGGAACACAGCCAUGCUCAUUUUUAUGUAUCGUCUGUGGCUGCUUUUAUGCUAGAAUGGCAGAGUUAUGACAGAGACCACAUGGCACUUAAAGCCUAAAACAUUGAACUUCACUCGGCCCUCUAUGAAACAAGUUUGCUCCCUCAUGGCUUAGACAUUGUUAUUCACUCUGGACCUGGGUCCAGCACCUCUCCCAAAUUCAGUGAGGACUCUGCUGCCAAGGAAGCAAGGCAGCAAGUGACAUGUCUGCCACAUUUCUCCUCUCUCUCACAGCCGACCCUUCUGUCCCCUAACAUUCUACCCAUCUCCUAGCCAUGGUACACUAUUUGCAGUUCCCCAAAGGCUUCGAGCUUCAGUGUGGCUUCAGAAAAUUCCAAGUGUGUUUUGAGGACAGUGAGAAGAUCACUGGCUUAGCACGUUUGCCCAAACCAAUGUAAAAGGCAUUACAGGUUGGACAGAUUGUUUCAGGAGUGACAUGGAGGAUGACCUCAGAUUCCAAGCUAAAGGGUUUGGGUUUAAGUCAGUGAAGCAACGCUAAGUAGUUAUGCUGUGAGCCACAUGGGACUGGGAGACUGGGGUUAAUAAAUGCAAACUAUUGCAUUUGGAAUGGAUAAGAAAUGAGAUCCUACAGUAUAGUACAGAGAAAUAUAUCUAGUCACUUAUGAUGGAACAUGAUGGAGGAUGAUGUGAGAAAAAGAAUGUAUAUAUAUAUAUGUGUGUGUGUGUGUGUGUGUGUGUGACUGGGUAACUUUGCUGUACAGUAGAAAUUGACAGAACACAAACUGUAAUCAAAGAAAUCAUUAAAAAAAAGUCAGUGAGGACACUUGAAGGAUUGUAGAGCAUGGGAUCAGGCAUUGUAUGUUUUAUACUGCUUCAUAUGCUUUAUGUUGUUUUAUUAUAUUGUUUAUAUAAUUCAGAUAACACUUGCAAAAUGUCCUGUUGUAUUAGCCUGCUCAGUUGCUGUAACAAAAUACCAUAGGACAGAGAUUUAUUGCCUCACAUUUCUGGAGACUGUAAAGAUCCAAGAUUGAGGUAUUGGAAAAUUCAGUUCCAGGUAAGGCUUCUUUUCCUGGCUUGUAGACAGAGCCACCUCCCUUUUCACUGUGUCCUCACAUGUCCUUUUCUCUGUGCUCAAGCAGGGAGAGAGAGAGAGAAGGAGAGAGGAAGAAAGAGAAAGCUUGGGGGAGGGGGGAGAGAGAGGGAGGUCUCUGAUAUUUCUUCCCUUUCUUAUUAGAUUAGAGUUUUACCCUUAGGACCUUAUUUAACCUUAAUUAUCUCCCUUAAAUCCCUAUUUCCAGAUGUAGUCACCUUGGGAGUCAGGGCUUCAACACAUGAAUUUGCAGGGGACACAGUUCAGUCCCUAACAGCUUAUGGAAAGAAAUUUAGGUAAGAAGGCAGGUAAGACCAUCAAUGAAAUGUUAGAGGCUGAAAAUACCACAGCGUGGCUCAGAGCCAUGGACCAUAGGAAUGGAAAAGAAGCAAGGAGUAACAGGAGGGGGGAAAAAAUCAUUAGGUUUUAGUAACUGAAAGAAUUCAAGGAAAGUUCUGACAGCUUCACUUAAAGCCUGGGGAUUAGGGAACAAAGCCACAGUUAACAGGAAAAUGAAGAUAUGGAGCAAGAGCUUCUUUGGGCACAUAUGAUGGUUUGGGGGUCUCUUCAAUCUGAGAUGCUAUGGGGUUAUCCAGGUGUACCUGGAGGACCAUUCAUUCAUCUUCCCUUAACCUAAGACUACCUAAAACACCUUUUAGCAAGAAGUUGUUGAUACUGAGUGUUUUUGGAAAGUUAUCACACCCUCCCCUUGAGACGGUUUUUCUCAUUUGUGAGACAUUCAUCAGGUUCUCCACUAUCUAACCAACCACAAAUGUCAGGAGAUACACCAAAUUCUCUUAUUCUGAUUGGUGGGGAUGAUUCUGACACCACAGAAUCCUCUAAGAAGUAUUUGGUGGAUAUUCAUUAAUGCAUGCCCCCAAAUGAUAAAUAAUAGUAAUUAUCAACCAGUCACAAGAUGCAGUUCUAGGCAGCAGGGGUUUAAAGAUAUCUAAAAAAGGCUAACUCUGGGCUGCACUGGAGUAAGCAUAAUAAUUCUAAAAGUGCUUACUCUCUUUCCCAUCUAAGCUUUCACUUUCUUCAGUUUUCUUUAACUGUCAGAAAAUGAGAUAGCAUUCUGAGAAGGAACUAGGUACGCCAUAGGAAAGUUCUAGAGGAGGCUGGUGGAGGAGACCGGCCAUGUGACAGUAUGUGUGGAAGUCGAUUUGACAGCCGCACCCGGUAGAAGCAGGUUCUCUAAGAAGCAGCCUGGGGAUUGCAGUGCAAGCACCGCAUACAUCUACAGUAUCUGCAUCUCGUGUUUGCUUUGCUUAUGAAGACCAUAUACUCCUGCACCAGGGUAAGGUUCACCCCAGCCAGCCUCUUUAGUUUAAUCAUUGCAAAAAGAACAAGUCAGAGCAAAAGACCUCCGGGAUCCUUCUAGAUGUUUCCUAGGAUUCAUCGUUGCUUAUAAACUAACCUCUUCAAAAUACCCUUUAACUCAAUGCUGUGAAUUCCAGACAUCUUUAAUGAUACCUUCUGUCCUUUGUAGCCUAUAAGACUAUUUAGGGAAACUCUACUUUCCCUCCGUUGGCUGUGGGAUUUCCACUCCUGCAUAUGCACUGCUUUUAAGUAAAAUAACCCUAGCCUGGAGCCUUUUGACUAUCUCUGUUUUAUAAUCAACAAAUAUUUAUUGCCCCUGCAUGGCAUGCAUGACCUUGGGCCAGGGGCUACAAGUUAAACAAAAAUAUUGCCCUUAAAUAUUCAAACUAGCAAAGGACAAAAAACACAGUGAUAGAACAGGUCGUCAAGCUCUGGAUUUAGACAGACCCCAGAGUAGAAUUUCAAUUUCUCCAUCUUUAGGCAAGUUACUUCAGUUCUUCUAAGUUCCCAUCUUUUCCUCCACAAAUAGUCCUGAUGAUAAUAAUAUCUGCCUCCUAGGCUUCUAGUGCGGAUUACUUCAACAAUUAUAAAUGACAGUACCUGACACAUAGAAAGUGCUUAAUGCAAUUUAGUCCUCUUAUUUUUGCUAUUAUCUUUAUUUCCAUAGGGAAGAGGAUAUGUAGACUUUUCCUUCUAAACUCUCUUUUCCCCUGGCUUUUUUUUUUUUUUUUUUUCACUCUUCCUUAUCACUGCAAAGCGUUCUCUAGUUUUGUUUUAAGAGCAGAAAGAUGCUGUGCCAAAGACCUGAUAUUUGAGCAGAAUCUUAACCACAGGUGAACAGGCACCAUGGGAGAUUAUGCUGUGUCUUGAUUUAGUCAGGUUUUGUCCAGUUUUCAACCUCUCAUUCCUGACCUUUGAGAAUCAUUUGUUGUAGAAAAGAAUCAAGAACACCCUUAGGCAGCCGAUAAUCAUUCUCAAGGCCUUCUCUCAAUAAAUAUUUAUUCUGCAUCCCUGUGUGCCAGGCCCUGAGUCAGCGCUGGGGACAGAGCAGUAGACAUGGCAGCCUCAGGCUCUGACCUCAUGGAAUACACAGCCCAGCAGAUGGCAAACAAACACACCAGGACAAGCAGAGCCCUGGAAGCCAAUGGAGUGGGGCUCAGCCUAGGCUGUAGGGCCUCACCAUGACCUUCCACCAGGGACCGCAGAGGGAGUAUCAUGGGCAGGGUGACAACUCUCGGAUGCCCAAACUGGAGACACAGGGUGAAAUGAAUAAUUGAAAGCUUCAGAUCUAAGCAAGGGAUUAAGCAGUAGGAAAGUGAAGUCUAAUAGUAUCAUUGGUUUUAAGUUGUAAAAGAAUUGCAAAAAAAAGUGGGCCAAGGGACAGUUUUAACCUCUAAACUAUUUUCUGGCCAGACAUGUUAGUUCACAACAAGUCAUCUGAUGAUGAAGGGGUGAUUGCUGACAUUUUCUGUACCCUCCCCCAAUUCUCAGGGUGACACUUCUCAGGAAACCACCAAUAGAGAGUAAAUCAUGGAUUUGGACUCAAAAUAAGGUAGUACCAUCGGAGAGCGCCAACUCCAUCAACUGGAUGAAGGUUGGAGGCACUCCAGAUCUGCUUAGGUGGCAAGGCUGAGCCAGGCUCCAUGAGACUGGAAGGGCUAAUGGUCAUGAGGGCCUGCAGCAAUUCUAUGUAAAAAUAACAUCCAGCUCCCCAGACAUUUGGCAAGGCUCUGAUUGCCGUCCCUUGAGAGUCAGGAAGUCGUGACUGUCAAAUCAGAGCUGAGCGUGGCUGUGGCGGGGGUGGAGGCCGAGGACUGGUAUUAGGACUGCCCUCCCCCUGGAGUGAGUCAGGUUCUGGGUCAGAGUCCACCUGUCCUCAGAAUCAGCCUGUCACACUUGACUCACUCCCUGAUGGUGAAAGCCACCCCCAGCCGCAACUUGAAAAUGUCCCAAAUGGUGGGUAAAGCAAACCUCCAAGCAUUUCAGAAUGGGCAAAGCUGGGAGUCCAGGCAGUAGGAAAAAAAAAAAAAAAAAAAA
rnacentral:lncRNA from 1 species